rfam:Sarcoptes scabiei Contig17504, whole genome shotgun sequence.
GUAGGCUAUGGCGACAUGAGGCCAGUCGGCGUUUGGGGCAAAUUUGUCGGCUCACUUUGUGCUAUCGCCGGCGUACUGACCAUAGCACUACCAGUGCCUGUUAUAGUAUCGAAU